rnacentral:lncRNA from 1 species
UUUACUGUUACUUUCUCAAGUUUCUCUAAACAUUUGCUCAGAGUAUUUUCACUGACCAAAACAAAUUCCGAUUAAUUUUAUACUCAGUAGCUGAGUUUUUUGGAAAGCUGCAUACAAUCAAAGGAGUAAAAUCCCAGUGAAAGUAAAUCAGUUUAACUUUACUUAUUUACUGCCAAAUGAAUAACAAUCUCGUAUGUCCAUCUUUUUUUAAAGGGAGAACCAGGUUUCAUUGGUCCUCAAGGAGAACCGGGCUUACCAGGGUUACCAGGAACAAAGGGUGAACGUGGGGAGGCAGGUCCUCCUGGAAGAGGUGAGCGAGGGGAGCCUGGAGCCCCUGGACCAAAGGUCAGUUAUUCUUGCAUUGGAAGAUAGCUUUCUUUGGUUUGGAAAUGUGUCCUACUUACUUUGGAACAUGAAACUAAAAUACAGUUCCUCAACAGGUAUUAAAACAGCAAAAAUCACAAUUUAUUGAAAUGCACACUGUUUGGUUCUUUUCAAAAGGAAUCUUACAAUUUAACCUUUCCAGUUUGUUCUGUCCAGUAAACAAAUUUAAUAACACUUCCAAAUGUAAGGGGGGGGAAGGUCAGUCAUAUUAACAUGUUAUCACUCAGUGUGUAUUAAAACUUAGAAAAAUGUUGAUACACGCUGUGUUAGUUUCUGUGCUGACUUGAAGGUGUGGAACACCCUGAAAAUAUCAGAGCUAAGGAUUUAUUUCACUGUUCAGUCUUUAUUCCUCCAAACUUCCUGCAAACUAAUAUGGUAACACUUUAUUCUAAUAACCUAAUAACCAUCCUAGAGACACAGGAAAUGGUUUAGUCUUUGAUGAAAAAGAAGUUUAUGCCAACACUGUUGAGACUAAUGAGGAUUAGUCACAGAACUCUUCCUAUCCACUGACGGGUGGGCAGUCUUCAGAAUUAUAAUGGAAUGAAGGUGGUGGUGAGACCAGAGAAUGAGCUAGUGAUAUGGUGAUAACUACUUAUGCUUUGUGUUAUGAUAGCCAAAGUUACUUAAAGCCAAAUACUGAGACAGUUAUAAUAAAGUGUUUCCAUUCUUCUUCGUUAUUCUGAGU